AGAGUUUGAUCCUGGCUCAGGAUGAACGCUAGCGGCGGGCUUAAUACAUGCAAGUCGAGGGGUGGUAGCAAUACUACACCGGCGCACGGGUGCGUAACGCGUAUGCAAUCUACCUUUAUCUGGGGGAUAGCCCGGGGAAACCCGGAUUAAUACCGCAUAACAAACUGAUUGGCAUCAAUUGGUUUUAAAAGAUUUAUCGGAUAGAGAUGAGCAUGCGUAAGAUUAGAUAGUUGGCGAGGUAACGGCUCACCAAGUCUACGGUCUUUAGGGGCUCUGAGAGGAGAAUCCCCCACACUGGCACUGAGAUACGGGCCAGGCUCCUACGGGAGGCAGCAGUAGGGAAUAUUGGGCAAUGGACGCAAGUCUGACCCAGCCACGCCGCGUGCAGGAAGAAGGCCCUCUGGGUUGUAAACUGCUUUUGACUGGGAAGAAAGAACCUCUUGCGAGAGGAGUUGACGGUACCAGUGGAAUAAGCCACGGCUAACUACGUGCCAGCAGCCGCGGUAAUACGUAGGUGGCGAGCGUUAUCCGGAUUUAUUGGGUUUAAAGGGUGCGUAGGCGGCUGAUUAAGUCAGCGGUGAAAGGUAGCAGCUUAACUGUUUUACAUGCCGUUGAUACUGGUUAGCUUGAGUUGACAGAAGGCAGAUAGAAUUUCUGGUGUAGCGGUGAAAUGCUUAGAUACCAGGAGGAAUACCGAUUGCGAAGGCAGUCUGCUGCAGUCACACUGACGCUGAGGCACGAAAGUGCGGGGAUCAAACAGGAUUAGAUACCCUGGUAGUCCGCACAGUAAACGAUGAUUACUAGUUGUUGGCGCAAGUCAGUGACCAAGGGAAACCGAUAAGUAAUCCACCUGGGGAGUACGCCGGCAACGGUGAAACUCAAAGGAAUUGACGG
rnacentral:rRNA from 1 species